GGUAACUUUCUCACAAGAGUUAGUUAUUAAAGCUUUACGCGCUGAGGGAUUGGGAUAUGCUCUAUUAGCUUGUUGGUGAGGUAAAAGCUCACCAAGGCUAUGAUAGAUAGCUGGUCUUAGAGGAUGAACAGCCACAAUGGGAUUGAGAUACGGCCCAUAUUCCUACGGGAAGCAGCAGUAGGGAAUCUUCCACAAUGGGCGAAAGCCUGAUGGAGCAAUACCAUGUGAACGAAGAAGGUCUUUUUGAUUGUAAAGUUCUUUUAUGAGGGAUAACAACUGAUAGUACCUCAUGAAUAAGUGACAGCAAACUAUGUGCCAGCAGCUGCGGUAAUACAUAGGUCGCAAGCAUUAUUCGGAUUUAUUGGGCGUAAAGCAAGCGCAGGCGGAUGUGUAAGUUCUGUGUUAAAAGUAGCUACUUAAUAGUUGUUUGCACCGAAUACUACAUGUCUAGAAUGUGGUAGGAAGUUUUGGAAUUAAACAUGGAGCGGUGGAAUGUGUAGAUAUGUUUAAGAACACCGGAGGCGAAGGCGAAAACUUAGGCCAUAAUUGACGCUUAGGCUUGAAAGUGUGGGGAGCAAAUGGGAUUAGAUACCCCAGUAGUCCACACCGUAAACGAUGG
rnacentral:rRNA from 1 species